rnacentral:rRNA from 1 species
UACGUAGGGGGCAAGCGUUGUCCGGAUUUAUUGGGCGUAAAGAGCGUGUAGGCGGCUAGGUAGGUCCGUUGUGAAAACUCGAGCUCAACCUCGAGACGCCGGUGGAAACCAUCAUAGCUAGAGUCCGGAAGAGGAGAGUGGAAUUCCGUGGAUGUAGCGGUGAAAUGACGCAGAUAUCAGGAAGAACACCCGUGGCGAAGGCGGCUCUCUGGGACGUGACUGACGCUGAGACGCGAAAGCGUGGGGAGCGAACAGG